rnacentral:rRNA from 1 species
UGGGGAAUAUUGCACAAUGGGCGCAAGCCUGAUGCAGCCAUGCCGCGUGUAUGAAGAAGGCCUUCGGGUUGUAAAGUACUUUCAGUCGGGAGGAAGGUGGUAAGGUUAAUAACCUUAUCAAUUGACGUUACCGACAGAAGAAGCACCGGCUAACUCCGUGCCAGCAGCCGCGGUAAUACGGAGGGUGCAAGCGUUAAUCGGAAUUACUGGGCGUAAAGCGCACGCAGGCGGUUGAUUGAGUCAGAUGUGAAAUCCCCGGGCUUAACCCGGGAAUUGCAUCUGAUACUGGUCAGCUAGAGUCUUGUAGAGGGGGGUAGAAUUCCAUGUGUAGCGGUGAAAUGCGUAGAGAUGUGGAGGAAUACCGGUGGCGAAGGCGGCCCCCUGGACAAAGACUGAAGCUCAGGUGCGAAAGCGUGGGGAGCAAACAGG